rnacentral:rRNA from 1 species
CCUACGGGGGGCAGCAGUGGGGGAUAUUGCACAAUGGGGGGAACCCUGAUGCAGCGACGCCGCGUGGGUGAAGGAGUGCUUCGGCAUGUAAAGCCCUAUCGGCAGGGAAGAAGCAAGACGGUACCUGACUAAGAAGCCCCGGCUAACUACGUGCCAGCAGCCGCGGUAAUACGGAGGGGGCGAGCGUUAUCCGGAUUCACGGGGUGUAAAGGGAGCGUAGACGGCCAUGCAAGCCAGGGGUGAAAGCCCGGGGCCCAACCCCGGGACUGCCCUUGGAACUGUGCGGCUAGAGUGCGGGAGGGGUAGGCGGAAUUCCUGGUGUAGGGGUGAAAUGCGUAGAUAUCAGGAGGAACCCCGGCGGCGAAGGCGGCCUGCUGGACCGCGACUGACGUUGAGGCUCGAAAGCGUGGGGAGCGAACAGGAUUAGAUACCCCAGUAGUC